GCUGUAGCUCAAUAGUAGAGCACCUGCUCUGCAUGCAGAAGGACCCGGGUUCAAUCUCCAGCAUCUCCU